CCUCUUCUCUUCUCGAAAAAGAGCCCCAAUUGUUUGUUUUCGCAUACUGCCCGGGCUCCUCUGCCCUGCGACUCUUUUUCUCUUUUUUUUGCUGACAAGUCGCCAUUUGUCAACUUGUUAUGUAUGCCCAUCAGUCGCC
ensembl:ncRNA T04C9.8 ncRNA